UGAAGUUAGGAUUCUCGAAAACGACACCUAAGUUUUCUGGAAAGGAAUGCCACAGAGGGUGAUAGCCCCGUACGGUGUUGACUCGAUACAGAGUCCUAACAUGGAGUCGAGUUGUUUGGGAAUGCAGCUCAAAUGGGUGGUAUGCUCCAUCUAAGGCUAAAUAUUUGCGAGAGACCGAUAGCGAACAAGUACUGUGAAGGAAAGAUGAAAAGAACUUUGAAAAGAGAGUGAAAUAGUACGUGAAAUUGUUGAAAUGGAAGGGUAGGCCGCUAACCAUGUAGGACCGUGUUUGGGGGGAAGAUAAAUGCUGU
rnacentral:rRNA from 1 species